rnacentral:rRNA from 1 species
GAUGAACGCUAGCGACAGGCUUAACACAUGCAAGUCGAGGGGCAGCACAGGUAGCAAUACCGGGUGGCGACCGGCGCACGGGUGAGUAACGCGUAUGCAACUUACCUAUCAGAGGGGGAUAACCCGGCGAAAGUCGGACUAAUACCGCAUGAAGCAGGGGUCCCGCAUGGGGAUAUUUGCUAAAGAUUCAUCGCUGAUAGAUAGGCAUGCGUUCCAUUAGGCAGUUGGCGGGGUAACGGCCCACCAAACCGACGAUGGAUAGGGGUUCUGAGAGGAAGGUCCCCCACAUUGGUACUGAGACACGGACCAAACUCCUACGGGAGGCAGCAGUGAGGAAUAUUGGUCAAUGGCCGAGAGGCUGAACCAGCCAAGUCGCAUGAGGGAUGAAGGUUCUAUGGAUCGUAAACCUCUUUUAUAAGGGAAUAAAGUGCGGGACGUGUCCCGUUUUGUAUGUACCUUAUGAAUAAGGAUCGGCUAACUCCGUG